AGAGCUUGCUCUUGGGUGACGAGUGGCGGACGGGUGAGUAAUGUCUGGGAAACUGCCUGAUGGAGGGGGAUAACUACUGGAAACGGUAGCUAAUACCGCAUAACGUCGCAAGACCAAAGAGGGGGACCUUCGGGCCUCUUGCCAUCAGAUGUGCCCAGAUGGGAUUAGCUAGUAGGCGGGGUAAUGGCCCACCUAGGCGACGAUCCCUAGCUGGUCUGAGAGGAUGACCAGCCACACUGGAACUGAGACACGGUCCAGACUCC
rnacentral:rRNA from 1 species